GACGACCCGUGCGAACGUUGUUCGGAAUCACUGGGCUUAAAGGGCGCGUAGGUGGUUUGCCAAGUCGGGGUUGAAAUCUUUCGGCUUAACCGGAAAAGUGGCUUCGAUACUGGCAAGCUGGAGGGAGGUAGGGGCGGAUGGAACUUCCGGUGGAGCGGUGAAAUGUGUUGAUAUCGGAAGGAACGCCGGUGGCGAAAGCGAUCCGCUGGACCUCUUCUGACACUGAGGCGCGAAAGCCAGGGGAGCAAACGGG
rnacentral:rRNA from 1 species